rnacentral:rRNA from 1 species
AGUUCGAUCAUGGCUCAGAUUGAACGCUGGCGUGGAUGCUUUACACAUGCAAGUUAUCGGCAGACGGGACUUCGGGUCUGGUGGCGAGUGGCGAACGGGUGAGUAAUGUAUCGGAACGUGCCUAGUAGCGGGGAUAACUACGCGAAAGCGUAGCUAAUACCGCAUACGCCCUUCGGGGAAAGCGGGGGGACCUUCGGGUUCUCGCACUAUUGAGCAGGCCGACGAUUGAAGCAGUUGGUGGGUAACGGCCUGACCACAAGUGACGAUCCGUGGCCGGUUUGAGAGGAUGACCAGCCACACUGGGAUCGAGACAUACCAGACUCACGAGCAGCAGGGGAAUUUUGGACACACUGAAAAUUCGAUCCAGCCAUCCCGCGCAUGAAGGCCUUCGCAAGGCUUUUGUAAAGUACCGCUGGCAGGAAGAAACGGCACGGAUAAUACCCCGUGCAACUGACGGUACCUUGCAGAAUAAGCAACCGGCUAACUACAGCCAGCAGCCGCGCAGAAUACGUGGUGGGCGGCAAAAGGCAGACCGGAAUUACUGGGCGUAAAGCGUGCGCAGGCGGUUCGGAAAGAAAGAUGUGGAAAUCCCAGAGCUUGAACUUUGGAACUGUAUUUAACUACCGAGCUAGAGUGUGUCAGAGGGAGGUGGAAUUCCGCGUGUAGCAGUGAAAUGCGUAGUGAUAUGCGGAGGAACACCGAUGGCGAAGGGCAGCCUCCGGGACAACACUGACGCCUGCGCACGAAAGCGUGGGGAGCAAAACAGGAUUAGAUACCCUGGUAGUCCACGCCCUAAACGAUGUCAACUAGCUGUUGGGGCCUUCGGGCUCGGUAGCGCAGCUAACGGGUGAAGUUGACCGCCUGGGGAGUACGGUCGCAAGAUUAAAACUCAAAGGAAUUGACGGGGACCGCACAUGGUGGAUGUGGAUUAAUUGAUGCAACGCGAAAACUCACUGAUCUCCUUGACAUGUCUGGAAUCCUGAAGAGAUUUGGGAGUGGCUCGUAAGAGAACCGGAACAUUGCGGUGCUGUAUGGCUGUCGUCAGGCUCGUCGAGAUGUUGGGUUAAGUCCCGCAACGAGCGGCAACCUUGUCAUUAGUUGAGCAUGAAAGGGCACUCUGACGAUCGCCGGUGACAAACGGAGGAAGGUGGGGAUGACGUCAAGUCCCUCAUGGCCCCAAGAAUGGCCUAACGCCAUAAUGGUUUGUGGAAAGAGGCCUGACUCGCGUGAAGGAGCCAAUCCCAGAAACCCGAUCGUAGUCCGGAUCGCGGGUUCGCACCUGACUUCGCGAAGUCGGAAUCGCUAACGGGAUCAGCAUGUCGCGUGAAUACGUUCCCCGGCGGUCGCCGUGGCACACCGCCCGUCACACCAUGGGAGUGGGUUUUACCAGAAGAGAAGUUAGCUCAACCGCAAGGAGGGCGACAAUACGGCAGGAUCUGCGACUGGGGUGAAGUCGUAACAAGGUAG